ACAGGUACUGGCAAUGUUUUAUCCUAUAAAGUACAUCGAUCAUAACCUAGCCUCCUGCUUUAACCACGCGACAGCAAAAACGAUCUAAUACUAUCUCGCCUAUCGCGGACAACUAUCGGCCAUCGACAUCCCCGACCCCUGAAGAACCGCUUCACUCAAAUCCAAAACCGCAACCGAGAGAGGCCACAGAAAUUCACUCGCACACUUGCGCGUCUGAUGACUCCAUCGACUCCUUGGUAAACGCCCUCCACGAUGUCCAAUCUCUACGGAGCAAGGCUAGAUCGCAGAUGAAGACCAUGUCACCCUGGCGAAUCGGCUCCGUCCUCUGGCACCAUUUUUCUCGGCUCGCAAAUAUAAUAACGUCAUCCAUAUAGACUGCUGCUUCAUUAUUCUUU